GUUGCUACUGAAUUUAAAGGCCUACUGAAAGCACCUCAGAGGACAGAAGGCUUAUUCAGUGGAGCAAGACUAUAAUCCUAGCAUCAUCCAGCUGCAGGAUCAUGAGCAAUGUUUUUUUUGGUAUAGUUAGUUGAGUGUAUAUGCAGCCUGUCUAGUACCUGUCUCAAGGCGAAAUACCCUAGAAAUGCUAAUCUCCAGCUCUACACUUGGAAUGGAAGAAUGACCCAGUGUUACUGCCUGUCACCUCGGAAGGGACUUGCCAAGUUGAAUUAAUGGUUAAAUAUUUGCUAAUAGAAGUUUUCCUGAA